rnacentral:sRNA from 1 species
UGCACUUGGUGACAUACUCUUUGAUGCUGUCCCAAGGCGAUGUGACCAUUCUGACUAGUUGCCAUAUGCAAAGGAGAUUAUACUGUAUCACUGGCUCAGCACCAAGGUGAUCGGAUGUGACAUUUCUGACUAGGCCCAGUCUACAAAUAAGACUAUACUGUAUAAUUGACACAACACCUCGUAGGCUUGCUGACAAACUAUUUGAGGCUAUACCUAGGUGAAGUGACUCCUCUGACUAGACCCAGUAUGCAAAUGAGGUUAUGCUGUAUCACUGAUUCAGCAUCGAGGCCCAGAUCACAGAAGUAAUUGUGCCAUAUGUGGAACAAGCAGCUAAGCAAUAGAUAACAUCCAUCGUGGCUCUGCCUUCAAAGGGAAAUUUUACAUAUGUCACUGGGACCAUCACCCAGGUGAUGUCCUGCCCGCUAAAAGAAUUGUGACAUGAUGCUGAAUGCAAAAUCUAGGUAAUGCAGUUCUCCUCUUUAUUCUAGAUUCUGCCAAAAUGGGGAUUAUUCCAUAUUGCUGAGCCCAGCAUCUAGGUGGUGUAAAAGUUUGACAUACACCUGUGUUCACCUACCAUGCACAAAUAUAACUAUCAUACCUGGCUCCAAAAACGAGACAUAUUUUGAUGCUCCUACCCAGUCUUAUAGCCAUAAGUAAAGUAAUGAGUCUCCUAGUGGUAUAAAGUUCACACAGUAUUAUGACACUCCAGCAUAUCAUAUAAAGUGUGAGAGGCAUACAUAGUGUUAUAACAGGGAACAGCAACCCAAUGCUAUUGGGAUUAUUGGAUUCACACUCAUCAGACA